GGCGGAGCCAAAUGGCAAGCUGGACUGCACCAUGGAGGCGGCAGGGCACACACAAAAUGACACUCCACAUGCAGCGGAGAGAAAAGGAGGCACUGCGAGGGAACCACACGAUGAUGAUGCUAUAGCAACCAUGCCGGGGCCUAGUGAGGGUGUUGCUGAGCGACAUGGGACAAGGCGUAGCGAGCAUGACAGCAGUUUAGCCUGACAUCAAGCAUUGAGACUGCUGGGGCUGAAUGAACGGCCUCAGUGUCAGUGUUCACAUGAGCCUGGCUGCGGAGGGACCGGUACGUCUGCAGACGCUGUCCAUGCAGCAGGAGGACACCAGGACUCUGUGCACGAGUGUGAGCCAGUGAGGACAAUCAAGAUGGAUGCAUGCAAAUAUUGUUUUUAGGGGUGAAAUUAGCACAACCGCAUUUCUGGCGCAGGGGAAGCCAUGGGAACCCCCCCCCCCAUGAAGGAACCAGCCCAGGCCAAGCACCAGGAGUGACUUUGAAUUCUCUGGCUACAACAGAACCAACAGACAAGGACACAUGAAGGAGGACAGGGGGGGGGGUAUGCGGGGGCUUCACAGCAUGAUCUGAUUAAAAUACCUAAGAAACGG